UCAUACACUAUCAUAUCGCCGAAAAUGCAAGAUAACAUUGAUGCAGCUAUCUUGUUGUUAAACUACUGAAAAUACAUAUGCACAUUGUUGCCUGUAUGUUACUAUAAUGUCGGUAUAUUCGAAAUCGUUGAAGACAAAUCUAUGGCAAGUUGUCAGCAUCAUAAGCAAUCACAGAUUUGUACGAUUUUGCCGAGACACGCUUUACUGGAUAAUUAUGCGCAAUUAAAUAAACUUAAGAUAUGGCAACGUUUUAUUCUGCACCUGUGCUGUCUUGUAUUUUCUCUCCUUUGCUCCAAUACUCCUCUGUAUCUGCGACGUCUUCUUCAGUUGAACUCUGAACAUCAUUCUUCUUUUAACCCCCUUGUCACCAGAUACUAAGAUUACUUAUCUUUCCCCAUAUAUUGUUCCAUUAAGUUCCGUGCCGCUUUCUUCUACACCUCUGUCAAAUAUUUUAAUGCUCUUCCUAAUUCAAUAAAAACCUCUCCCUUUCGUUCCGCUGCCUCUCGUUUCAUCGCGUCACAAUAAGCGAGACUGACGAAAUUUGUGUGUUUGUGGGUAUAUGCGCGUGUGUAUGAUUUCAGUUAUUGGUUCACCUCUCAUUACAUUGUUGUCUUAUUUCAGGUUUUGUUGCAGGCUUUGUAAUAGCAAUUUUGCCGAUACCAUUUACAAGCUAUUAUUAUUUAUUGCAAUAUUAUAUUUUAUUUUAUGUCUACUAUAGUCUAUUGUAUUUUAUGUCUAUUACUCUGUUAACAUAUAGUCUUUCUCAUAAAGUUUCGCAAUAAACUAAAUUAAAUUAAAUUAAAUUAAAAUUACAAUUCGCGACGGCAACGGGGAUGGAUCGUUAAAGGUUCGAUAUCCGCAGGAAACAAUGAUAUUUCUUUAUUAAUGUCAGAUCGACACUCGUACUAAAUCUCGUUAAAUCUUGACUCUACGAGCGAUUACCUUAAAAGGCGACUAUUGUACGACAAUCAAAUGCAAACUAAAUCUGUCAACGAUAUACAAGAGCUUGUAUUCUUACAAAAAUAUAUUACUCAAAUGGAUAACUUCGCCAUGAAGAUUCGGGACCGCAGAUCGGAUUGGCAGGAUAUUAAACAAACACAAUAUCAUUUCAAACCACUCAAAAAGAUAGGACAAAUCUUAAAGAAAUCCUAAAGAUUAAAGAUCUCCAUCGAUCAGCUCCGCAGGAGUAUACAAAAUACCUUGUUCCUGCGGAUAAUACAUUGGAGAAACCGGGAGAAUGGUCAACCUACGGAUAAAAGAACACCAACGUGAUGUCAAGCUAAUACAGGGUCCGGCAAAAUGAUCUCCCACAUUUUUAAAUUAUUAAAGAUUAAAAUGUGGGAGAUCAUUUUGCCGGACAUGUCACGCUGUCAGCAUUAUCAGAACACAACAUUGAAACAGGAUAUCAAAUAUUGUUUGACAAAGCGACCACGAUGGCCAAUGUUACAUCAUACUUUCCAAGAAAGUAUAGAGAAGCUAUAGAGAUACAAUAACACCCUAAUAAUCUAAAUAGAGAUAAUGACUAUUACAUAAAUAAAAUAUGGAAAACCA